GUGCGGGAUUAUUUCAUGUUCAGUUAGGUUUAUUUUGAUGGCUGUGGUUUUUUGACGGGUGCUGUGUUCACCGUCUUGUUUUGGUCAAGUGUAAUUGUUACCUUGUGCCUUGUUGGGGAAAGUACGUUGCUCACUCAUUCUGCUUUCCUGCAUCUGACUUCAUGCACCAGCUACACCCACCUUCUGACAUGCAUGCUGUUCAUGUGUGUAUGAUCAAACUUAAUGAUCUUGCUUUUCAAAAGGAUGACAAGAUAAAGCAUAUUAAUGUUAUGCAUUUAUGUUCCUCCCUUCAUUGAGUUGAUAGACGGUCUCUUGCUCAGGAUGUACUGAUGCACAAGUCCCAUAGAGCAGUGCUGGUUAGAGAGGCAGAGAUGAGCUGGAAACCAUGGCAACUCAGUGCUUCACUUCUCCAUUCCCCAAGCCCUGCUGGAGAGGAGACGAAUACCUGUGCAGGCCUAAUCCCAUUCAACACCUGCAUACAAAGAAGGCCUCCGUUUUGGCAUGAUAUGAAAAUACACAGGGGAUUGACAAGAUACAUUUUUGAUGGACUGCUGUUUUCCUACAAUGUCUCCAUAUCACACGGAGUACACACCAACGCUGACAAACAGCUCUGGCUAUUGGUUUGGCACCCUCCACCUAAUUCCACUGGUGAAACAUUUACUGUGGGGAUACAAAUUAAUCGCCUCCUUCUUCUACCUCUAAUGAAUGGAAGCUAAACCGUAUUUGUGUCCCAAGCCAUUGAUUAAAGCUACCAGCACUUUU